ensembl:lncRNA novel transcript
UUUUGGAAGUGGCCCACCACCAUCUUGGGAGCUCUGUGAGCAAGGACCCCCCGGUAACAUUUUGGCGACCACGAAGGGACCUCCAAAGCGCCUCCAUCAGAGAGCUCCAUCCAGACCUAGACUUGGACAAUAGGCAGUUGUUUGCUUGCCUCUGGCUCUGCUCACUCUCCAUGGGGGUCUAUAGCUGGUGAUCAUCUUGUAUACCUAAUUCUGGCUUCAUCUUCAGACUCGGACAGGAGGCAAACUGAGCUCCUGAAUCAUUAGGAUGGACGCGCCAUCAACAGAAUCUGCUUUUAGUGGAAUGG